rnacentral:rRNA from 1 species
CUUAAAUUGAAGAGUUUGAUCAUGGCUCAGAUUGAACGCUGGCGGCAGGCCUAACACAUGCAAGUCGAGCGGAAACGAGUUAUCAGAACCUUCGGGGGACGAUAACGGCGUCGAGCGGCGGACGGGU